GGCGCAGCCCNGACGGAAGCGACGCCGCGUUGGGAUGAAAGAAGGCCUUCGGGGUCGNUAAAGUCCUGUUCAGUGGGGAAGAAAGCGAUCAUCAAGAAAAGGGUGAUCGUUGACGGUACCCGUUGAGGAAGCCCUGGCCAACUACGUGCCAGCAGCCGCGGUAA
rnacentral:rRNA from 1 species